AUUGAACGCUGGCGGCAGGCCUAACACAUGCAAGUCGAACGAGUGGCGGACGGGUGAGUAAUGUCUGGGAAACUGCCUGAUGGAGGGGGAUAACUACUGGAAACGGUAGCUAAUACCGCAUACCCUCAGAUGUGCACAGAUUGGAUUAGCUAGUUGGGGGGGUAACGGCACACCAAGGCGACGAUCCCUAGCUGGUCUGAGAGGCUGACCAGCCACACGGGAACUGAGACACGGUCCAGAGUCCUACGGGAUGAAGCAUGGGGGAAUAUGGCACAAGUGGCGCAAGCCUGAUGCAGCCAUGCCGCGUGUAUGAAGAAGGCCUUCGGGUUUUAAAGUACUUUCAGCGGGGAGGCGGUACCCGCAGAAGAAGCACCGGCCAACUCCGUGCCAGCAGCCGCGGUAAUUC
rnacentral:rRNA from 1 species